rnacentral:rRNA from 1 species
GGAUUCUCUUAGUAACGGCGAGUGAACAGAGAACAGCCCAGCACCGAAGCCUGUCUGCGCUUGUGGACAAGGCAAUGUGGUGUUCAGGUGUAUGUCUGGGGUGGUCAGUCUAUUCGAAGUCCAGCAUAGAUUAUGGCUCUGGAUUUGGUCCAUAGCGGGUGAAAGACCCGUCCGGAUAGACUUUUUGAUAUGAUGGCUGCCCUCAGAUACAUUCACCUUGGAGUCGGAUAGCUUGAGAAUGCUGUCCAAAGUGGGUGGUAAACUCCAUCCAAGGCUAAAUACUUGCACGAGUCCGAUAGCUAACAAGUACCGUGAGGGAAAGUUGAAAAGUACUCUGAAGAGAGAGUAAAUAGUACGUGAAACCGCCUGUAGGGAAGCUGGUGGAGUCAAGCUGCAUGCUUUGGAGAUUAAGCAAGUGACUGUUGUGGUAUUGUGGAGUUGGGCGAUCGGUGGUCUUGUAAAUAGGCCUACGGAUUUAUCCGUUCCAUGUGCGUACUGGUUGGUGCGUAUGAGGCUGGUUGUCUUAUCUCUGUGUUGCUUGUGUAUGUUUCCUUAGCAGACAUCACGAUCGAUAUCGCCGCUGGCACGUGGUAGUGAAACCAUUCGGACGUGGGUCUUGUACUCAUGCCGGGUGGGACGGCAGGUAGCUUGCAUGGUGGCCUCGGCUGCUAUGUGAGUGUUUUGUGGUUAUGGCCCGCUCUCUACCAUUCUGUUGUGCAUUUCGCCAUGCGGUAUAUCGUUGAUCUUGUCGUGCCUGGUGUUUGUGGUGCUUGUUUAUGGCUGUUCGGGCUUGCUUCUGUAAACGCAGUUCAGGUUCGUGAUGGUUGUGGAUUGGUGCUUCCAAUUGCUGGGUUCAUGAAUCG